rnacentral:rRNA from 1 species
GAGACAGCAGCAGCCGCGGUAAUACGAAGGGUGCAAGCGUUACUCGGAAUUACUGGGCGUAAAGCGUGCGUAGGUGGUGGUUUAAGUCCGUUGUGAAAGCCCUGGGCUCAACCUGGGAAUUGCAGUGGAUACUGGGUCACUAGAGUGUGGUAGAGGAUAGUGGAAUUUCCGGUGUAGCAGUGAAAUGCGUAGAGAUCGGAAGGAACAUCUGUGGCGAAGGCGACUAUCUGGGCCAACACUGACACUGAGGCACGAAAGCGUGGGGAGCAAACAGGAUUAGAUACCCGUGUAGUCCCUGUCUCUUAUAC